AGGGUUCCCCAUGCAAUGCUGCGUACAGGCGAAACACAGCAGGAUUGUUUGGGUGUUAAGUGAAUUUUGCUGUCCGUGGAGCCUUGUCUUGGUCAGCGUCUUGGUUUCUGGUGAUGCUGGAAGGCUGCUUAGUGAGUUUGGUCCUCAGCCUCAUCUGUAGCCUCGGGGGUGCCGGGUUCUCCAGGUCACCUGACGCAUUUGCAGGAUCAGAAGUUGGUUGCUAUUGAUGGCAUGACAGUUUUGUGUGAGAGAUCAAGGAGUGCCAAAGUAGCAGACAAAGAGGAAGUUAAAGAGAGAGAGAGGCGGCUCGAUGGAUGUGUUUAUGUAAUAAUUUAUUGACAUAGGUGACAUUGAGGAAAUGGGUGAGGUGACGCAUCCCUCCCAAAUCCCUUCCCUGAGGAUUGUUGGAUUUUGGGAAGCACUUACCUUUCUGCUGGGGUCACUCGAGGGGGACAGCAGAGGCGUUCCUGGUGUGCAAGGUCACAGCAGCUCAUAGCAGUGCUGGGAUGGAGCUGUUUGCUUGUUGUGGGGUUCAGGGAAAAACUCUUGGCACUGGGCUUUUCAUUCCCAUGUUGGGGAAGAUGAAAGGAGGUGUCAAAGUGAGCAAGACUGAUGGGUCUGUCACAGUCCCACUGCCCCCAGUCUCCUGGCAGCAGGUCUCACAUUAGAGGAGCUUGUUGAAUGCUUUCUCCUGGUUGAUGGUGUGGAAAGGUGAGGCAUCCCUUGGGAGCAGAGGGCACAGCCUGCUCUGAGAUUACAGCCAUGUCAGGGAGACAGAUGCUGAGGGUCACGGCUCUUCUGCUCCUGGUCCUCAAGGUUUUUGUCCUUUGACAAAGACGUUUGGUCUGUGUCACGCACUGCCAGAUCACGAUAGAAGCAAACCUUGGAAGUUCAUUGUCUGCAGAGGCAUCCCUUCGUGGGGGCAGGCUUAGUUAUCAGAGUGAGUGCUGUUGCAGGAUGAUGGAGGAGAUGCUGGGAAUGUCUCAGUUGUGGAAAAGAGGCCCCCAAUUAUGCUGCUUCCACUGAAUGUAGGUGAGUGAUGAGGCCAAAGACAGUCCUUACCCUGCAGGGACUCCGUCAACAGGCGUGUGCUCAUUGCUCAUCAGCAGACAGAGGUGGGCAGCACCCGGGACUCACUGCUGGAUUCCCAGGGGAGAUGCAUGGAUGGAGUGAAGGAUGGCCCAAACAGCAGCAGCAGGCCCUCAGCUGUGGGGCUUGAAGCAUCACUAUCACAAGGGACGAUCAAAAGAGGGUCCAACCAAGUGCUGGGUGAGACCCCAGGAGUGGCAGAGAUCCCAGGCACUCGGGAGCCCUCCCAGCUCGGCUCAGCAGGUGCCCAGCACCGCAUCCCUUCCCUGGGGUGCGCGGGGCCCCUGAAGCAAAGCCCCGAAGGUA